rnacentral:rRNA from 1 species
GAUGAACGCUGGCGGCGUGCCUAAUACACGCAAGUCGAGCGAACGGACGAGAAGCUUGCUUUUCUGAUGUUAGCGGCGGACGGGGGAGUAACACGUGGAUAACCUACCUAUAAGACUGGGAUAACUUCGGGAAACCGGAGCUAAUACCGGAUAAUAUUUUGAACCGCAUGGUUCAAAAGUGAAAGACGGUCUUGCUGUCACUUAUAGAUGGAUCCGCGCUGCAUUAGCUAGUUGGUAAGGUAACGGCUUACCAAGGCAACGAUGCAUAGCCGACCUGAGAGGGUGAUCGGCCACACCGGAACUGAGACACGGUCCAGAAUCCUACGGGGGGAAGCAGUAGGGAAUCUUCCGCAAUGGGCGAAAGCCUGACGGAGCAACGCCGCGUGAGUGAUGAAGGUCUUCGGAUCGUAAAACUCUGUUAUUAGGGAAGAACAUAUGUGUAAGUAACUGUGCACAUCUUGACGGUACCUAAUCAGAAAGCCACGGCUAACUACGUG